rnacentral:rRNA from 1 species
UACGUAGGGUGCAAGCGUUAAUCGGAAUUAUUGGGCGUAAAGGGCUUGUAGGUUGUUCUAUAAGUUAGAUGUGAAAACCCUGGGCUUAACCUGGGACGUGCAUUUAAUACUGUAGAGCUAGAGUAUGGUAGAGGAGUAGGGAAUUCCUGGUGUAGCAGUGAAAUGCGUAGAGAUCAGGAGGAACAUCAGUGGCGAAGGCGCUACUCUGGACUAAUACUGACACUGAGGAGCGAAGGCGUGGGGGAGCAAACAGG